rnacentral:rRNA from 1 species
CAGCCGCCGCGGGAAUACGUAGGUCCCGAGCGUUGUCCGGAUUUAUUGGGCGUAAGGGGAGCGCAGGCGGUUUAGUAAGUCUGAAGUUAAAGGCAUUGGCUCAACCAUGUAUGCUUUGGAAACUGUUAGACUUGAGUGCAGAAGGGGAGAGUGGAAUUCCACGUGUAGCGGUGAAAUGCGUAGAGAUGUGGAGGAGCACCAGUGGCGAAGGCGACUCUCUGGUCUGUAACUGACGCUGAGGAGCGAAAGCGUGGGGAGCGAACAGGAUUAGAUACCCGUGUAGUCCCUGUCUCUUAUACAC